rnacentral:rRNA from 2 species
AGCUUGCUCUUUUCAGAAUUGAGUGGCAAACGGGUGAGUAACACGUAAACAACCUGCCUUUAUCAGGGGGAUAACGCAUCGAAAGAUGUGCUAAUACCGCGUAAGACCACAGCUUCGCAUGGAGCGGGGGUCAAAGGAGCAAUCCGGAUAAAGAUGGGCUCGCGUCCGAUUAGCUAGUUGGUGAGAUAACAGCCCACCAAGGCGACGAUCGGUAGCCGACCUGAGAGGGUGAUCGGCCACAUUGGAACUGAGACACGGUCCAAACUCC